AGUUAGCCUGCCACCGACCAGGUUAGUUCAGAAGCAUAUGUUACCCCAGCAACUCAGCUGAGAUUCCUGUUAGCGGGAGUAAUGGAACCGAGCUCUCUCUAAAAUUAGCGAGGCUUAUCAAAGUUAGCCGCGAUUUACGGUUAGCUCGCUUGAUGGAAUACCCCCCUGGCUAUUUGUGCUGUAGUGCUGUGUGUGUGUGUGUGUGUGUGUGUGUGUGUGUGUGCGUGUGUGUGUGUGUGUGUGUGUGUGUGUGUGUGUUGCUGGCGCUCCUCUCCAGCCCCUGUCCGCAUCGCCGUUGGCCUGGCAUCGCUGACCGCCCUGGCCCUGGCCCUGGCAACAGCUGCAGUGGGCGCGCGCGCGGCCGGCCGGCAUCCUGGCCCCCGGGGUAGCCGCUCUGAAGUCCAGCCCAAUCACUGAAGCGCUGCCCUGUGGCGCCGCAGGCCAGGCGCUUCAAUCUAUAUCUCCACUGAGUGGCCUGGAUACCGCAGGCAGGCGGCAGUGCCGUGGCCCAUCGAUCCCUUCUUCUCUCCCCCCGCUCUCUCUCUCUCCGCCAGCCGUCUGACACAAGGAAGAGGGCGGCUGAUGACCGCCGAGCCGAGCCGCGCGGCGCUACCUGAGGCCUUGGGCUUUGAUGUCAAGCUGGGAGCCGGGGCAGAGGACUUCCAUUUUCGGCUCGAUCAGUCGCAGCGCUCAGAGGGAGGGCUGCGGGGCAGCAGACACCUUCCUGCCUCGGCCCAGGACGUCUCAAGAGGAGGUGAGGAGCCCCCACUGACCGCACUGGACUCCUCAAAGGCUCAUUAGGCGCAGGGGAGCCGGGACAGCAGCUGCCAGAGACGCCUCUCUCACUGCCAGAUGGCCGUGCUUUCAGACGGAUGGAGACGACCAACACACACACACACACACACACACACACACACACACACACACACACACACACACACACACACACACACACACAGACACACACAGACAAUACAAAAAAAAAUGCCCGCUGAAAGCCUGGCACCCGAGGCGGCGCCGUGGAAACGAGACGUGCAUUUACUCUGUCAGGGCCGUGGCGGAGGUGGCGCGACUCACGGGGGGAUAGUGUGGCGACGGUGUUUAUCUUCGCGCUCCGGCCCUGUUAUCAAGCACUCAGAGAGCCAGCGAGCGGCCGUCACCAGUGUUUGCGUUACGAAUCGAUUCGGAUCCGGGCGGCCCCGUGCUGUCAGAUGGAUGAAAUGGUUCCUGGUGCUCAGUGAAUUCUCCACACACCCCUCCUCUGUGCCCUGUCAAUCCAGCCUAAUUGCCUGCCACCUACAGCAAAGAAAUGGUCUAAGGCAGAAUGUCUAUCACUUCAUAUUGUGUAACCCUGUAAAAUUUGCCUGUCAGCCCCAAAGAAAGAUGGAAAGUACUCCAGCAGACUUUAGCUGCAAGUUACUUCCUAUGAACUACUGUAUAUAGCACAAUAUUGCAUUCAAUGACUUGAGAAUUGAGGAAUUAUCAUAGCUUAAGGGCGAUCUGUUUGAAUAAAAAAUGUAUAUGUUAACUAUUACUUGCUGAAAGCUUAGAACUACUCCAUGUUAUUUAAUGUCGAGCUCUUGGGAGCUCUUGAUUAAAGUGUUUUUAUUGGUCCUUAGAGGAAAAAAGAUUGAGUUUACUGGUUACCUAGUUUAAUUAGUCAUCAUCAUGUCCCAUCUGUUAGUCGACUUCAUCAAUUAUUACUGGUCCGGGCUGAGUUACUCCUCCUCAUUUAAAAAUGGAUAAAGCCCUAAUGAUCAGCAGCAUGGGGACCUAAUCUCUGUGCAAACGAGGGCGAUUCGUGUGACAUUAUCUUAUCUUAAAGCUUCUCGCUUGUACUGAAUGCGAGGUCAGCAGCAGGUCGGUCACGGAUGACUUUCACUUCUGCCACCACAGGGAAGUCUUCCUAACUCAAAUCAAAAC